ACCACAUCAGCACAUUUACAGGAGCAGGGACGUCUUUCUGCACUCCACAAUCUCUCAGCUACAAUUUAUUA